rnacentral:rRNA from 1 species
CAAACAGCGGAGGAAAAGAAACUAACUAGGAUGCCUUCAGUAACGGCGAGCGAAGCAGGCAUAGCUCAAAUUUGUAAUCUGGCGCCUUUGGCGUCCGAGUUGUAUUUUCUAGAAGCGAGUUCGGCGACAGCUCCUACCCAAGUCCGUUGGAACGCGGCGUCAUGGAGGGUGAGAAUCCCGUGAAUGGUAGGAUGUCUGCUGCUAUGUGAACCGCCUUCGAAGAGUCGAGUUGUUUGGGAAUGCAGCUCUAAAUGGGAGGUAAAUUUCUUCUAAAGCUAAAUAUUGGCCAGAGACCGAUAGCGAACAAGUAGAGUGAUCGAAAGAUGAAAAGAACUUUGAAAAGAGAGUUAAACAGUACGUGAAAUUGUUGAAAGGGAAGCGCUUGAGAUCAGACUUCCUGUCUGGACUGUCCUUGCUUUUGCUUGGGUCAACAGUCCAGGCGUGGAGGCCAGCAUCAGUUUUGACGGCCGGAUAAAGGCCCUGGGAAGGUAGCUCCCCUCGGGGAGUGUUAUAGCCCAGGGUGUAAUACGGCCAGUUGGGACUGAGGACCGCGGCUCUGCCUAGGAUGCUGGCGUAAUGGUCUUAAGCGACCCGUCUUGACCAACG